rnacentral:rRNA from 1 species
GUUGACAAAUAAAGCAGGGUGGAUAUAAUAAUUAUUGUCKAAACACCCGUUCCCAUCCCGAACACGGAAGUUAAGCCCUCCAGCGCCGAUGGUAGUUGGGGCCAGCGCCCCUGCAAGAGUAGGUCGCUGCUAGGC